rnacentral:rRNA from 1 species
UAAUUGAAGAGUUUGAUCAUGGCUCAGAUUGAACGCUGGCGGCGGGCCUAACACAUGCAAGUCGAGCGGCAGCACAAGGGAGUUUACUCCUGAGGUGGCGAGCGGCGGACGGGUGAGUAAUGCCUAGGGAUCUGCCCAGUCGAGGGGGAUAACAGUUGGAAACGACUGCUAAUACCGCAUACGCCCUACGGGGGAAAGGAGGGGACCUUCGGGCCUUCCGCGAUUGGAUGAACCUAGGUGGGAUUAGCUAGUUGGUGAGGUAAUGGCUCACCAAGGCGACGAUCCCUAGCU